rnacentral:tRNA from 3 species
CCCCCCGUAGCUCAGCGGUAGAGCGGCCGGCUGUAGACCGGCAGGUCCCGGGUUCGAUGCCCGGCGGGGGGA